UACGUAGGGUGCAAGCGUUAAUCGGAAUUACUGGGCGUAAAGCGUGCGCAGGCGGUUAUAUAAGACAGUUGUGAAAUCCCCGGGCUCAACCUGGGAACUGCAUCUGUGACUGUAUAGCUAGAGUACGGUAGAGGGGGAUGGAAUUCCGCGUGUAGCAGUGAAAUGCGUAGAUAUGCGGAGGAACACCGAUGGCGAAGGCAAUCCCCUGGACCUGUACUGACGCUCAUGCACGAAAGCGUGGGGAGCAACAGG
rnacentral:rRNA from 1 species